rnacentral:lncRNA from 1 species
AGAGGUGUUGGCUGUAGGCAAGAGUGUAUUCUGUAGGAAAUCCAGGUGGUUUGACGGAUGUCCUUUUUUUCUUUUUUCUUUGCUGAGCAAGUUAAGCCUGGAAAGAGGGAUGUUUUAAUCAUCUAAAGCUAAAGGAAGAAGACAAGCUCCUGACUUUUCCUUGGUGAUUGAAGACUAGAGGCAGUGACCGCAAAGGAAGCUAGUGAGCCUCUUCUCGUGUGUGUGUGGAGGACUCUGGAAUAGGAAGAAGGGUGUUUGUGAGUGCUGGACUGGGCGUGCCCCCCAGGAACUAAGACCUUCACUUCGUCCUGCAUUUCUCCUUUGGUAUCAGCCCCUGGCCACAGUGGACACACAAAUCACUACUCGGCAGAGGACACACACCCUUCCCACUCCAGCUUAAAGCAGUUAACCACACACAAGAACCUGCUUCAGACCUGGAAGGUGGAGGUUGUAGUGAGCUGAGAUCACGCCAUUGCACUCCAGCCUGGGAGACAGAAGGAGACUGUCUCAAAAGUUAAAAACAAAAAGCCCGUGUAAGUGAAUAUUGCCUUCUACUUCAUAAUAUACACAUUUGCUUUAACAUUAAAAAUAAUGUUAGAUUUUUUUUUCUAAUAAGGAAAAUUGGUACUGAAGAUCUAGUGGGAAAGUCAUUUAUUUUCCUUGGCACACUGCUGUAAUCCCUGGAGUCAAAACAAAGUUGUAAUGUGGGGCGGAGUGCAUGG